AGGACGAACGCUGGCGGCGUGCUUAACACAUGCAAGUCGAACGAUGAACCAGGGCUUGCCCUGGGAAUUAGUGGCGAACGGGUGAGUAACACGUGGGCAACCUGCCCCUGGACUUCGGGAUAACUCCGGGAAACCGGAGCUAAUACCGGAUACGAGCAUUGAGGACAUCCUCGAUGCUGGAAAGUUUUUUCGGUCAGGGAUGGGCCCGCGGCCUAUCAGCUUGUUGGUGGGGUAAUGGCCCACCAAGGCGACGACGGGUA
rnacentral:rRNA from 1 species